rnacentral:lncRNA from 1 species
UUGGGAGCUAAGUGGUUGCUGCCCUUGACCACUGUGAAGACUGGUGUGGGAAGGGUCGUUUUGGAUGCACUUGAGCAGGGGUCCCCAACCCCUGAGCCAUGGAGCCGCAAGGAGCCACACAGCAGGAGGUGAGUGGUGUCGAGUGAGGGAGUGAGGGAAGCUUCGUCUGUAUUUACAGCCACUCCCCUUUGCUCACAUUCCCGCCUGAGCUCCACCUUCUCAGAUGAGCAGCAGCAUUAGAUGCUCAUAGGAGAACGCACCCUGUUGUGAACCGUGCAUGUGAGGGAUCUAGGUUGCGCUGUCCUUAUGAGAGUCUAAUACCUAUUGAUCUGUCACUUUCUCCCAUCACGCUCAGGUGGGAACAUCCAGUUGCAGGAAAACAAGCUUAACACGCCCACUGAUUCUACAUUAUGCUCCUACCUCCCGGCAGCCUCUCCAGGCCCAGAACUUUCUCCAGUCAGCCUCUACAGACCAAGCUCAUGACUCACAAUGGCCUAUUUAGGCCCAUACCCUACGUCACGGCAGCCUCCGCAGAUGAGGCUACUGCCUCACAACAGCCUCCACAGGCACAGCUCCAUCGUUACAAUGGCCUCUUUAGACCCAGCUCCUGCCUCCCAGCCUUCUCUCCAGGCCCUGAACAUUCUCAGGUCUCACUCUGUUGUC